AAGAAGCCACUUCGUGAAGGACCGGGCGUUGAAUGAGCGACUGUCCAUUUAGCAGCAUCAUGUGGCCAACGACAGCUACAUCAUUGGUUGGGAAACAGUUGCAUUUAGCAGGUUCAUGUGGCCUUCAAAUGUCUAUAACUACGCAGAUAAGCAAUCAAAUUGCAUAUGCUUACCAUAGAGGUCACCCAUGAGGCCAUAGUUGGCUUCAAAAUCUUGGACUGUAAGUGAUUCCUAGUUUGAGAGUGGAGCACGAUUAGAUGAGAUGAAACCUUGCAUGACAGUGUUCUGUUCGAAAAGAAACCAGUGGAGUGGUUACGAAAUUGGUAAAGAAACGAUGGCUUGCUGGAGAUAUCAGCCGAUUUCAUGGCUAUAUCUUGACUUUGUUGUAUGGAGGACGUAGAUCAUUGAUGAAAGCUUUGAUGUAAGGUUUAUAUAAGAACAGAAAAAAAGGGAGGUAGAAAGCUUCGAUGAAUGAAGGUAACAUCUCUUAUUAAAAAAAGGUUUAAAGAACAUAAUUGAAUGUGAGUAAGUAACAGAAACGUUGGAUUGCAGAAGUCGGAAACGAUGAUCGUGAAGUUGAAGAGGCGGAGACGACUUAUUUGGAAGGAGGUUUGGGCUAGUUAAAGAUGGACCAUGUCUUUUUAAUAUUGCUUCACCUGAAUUGGCCUGUUAAAACUACUUUCGAG
rnacentral:lncRNA from 1 species